ACAGCUGCACGUCAGCGUCCUAAAUUGACAGCUACGGCUUAUAUGGCUGCUAAUCACACCUUAGGUAGGAAACGCUGUCGGACCCUGACGUACAGACAGGUGAUUAAUCAACCGAACGUUGUAAAGAUCACGGUUGGUCAAGAGGGAACUGGCCAGGUGUAUUGCAGAUCCCCCGCUCAAGGAGUGGCUGAAGGGUCUGGAAUACAGCAAGGAUUGUCUGGCUUCAUGCUGACCAGACUGGCGAGCUAACCGUUUAAGCGGAUCCGGAAAUACAACACCUAUUAUCUGAGGAAACUCUUCCGAACUGGUUGGAGAUUCAGCUCAACAAGUUUUCAUUGAAGGAACUGGAUUAUUAUUAUUAUUUUGUUUUUUCCCUUUUCAUCAUCAACAAAGACUGGUUGACUGCCUUGGUAUAAGGAACUCUUUUGGACUCUAAAUUGUGGACUAACUUGUAUAUAUUGUAAAUAUUAAUACAACUCACCAAUUUUUGCACCA